UCCUCUAUAGCUCAGUUGGUAGAGCGUGCGGCUGUUAACCGCAAGGUCGUAGGUUCGAUCCCUGCUGGAGGAG
rnacentral:tRNA from 1 species